CCGACCUUAGCUCAGUUGGAAGAGCGCGAGACUGUAAUGGAUAACCUUGGCAUCUUGAGGUCGCCUGUUCGAGCCAGGCAGGUCGGA
rnacentral:tRNA from 1 species